rfam:Oryza rufipogon genomic scaffold, chr01
AAUAAGUGCAGCCAUGAAAAUCCGUGUCCAACGUUUGACCGUCCGUCUUAUUUGAAAAAUUUAUGAAAAAUUUUAAAAAAGUUAGUCACACAUAAAGUACUAUUCAUGUUUUAUCAUCUAAUAACAAUAAAAAUAAUAAUCAUAAAAAAUUUUUAAAUAAAACGAAUAAUCAUAAAAAAAUUUUUAAAUAAAACGAAUGGUCAAACGUUGGAGGUGAAUAGUGUAAAAUUACACUUAUU